rnacentral:tRNA from 1 species
GCGUGGGUGCUCAGUCGAGUUGAGCGUCUGACUUUAGCUCAGGUCACGGUCUCACAGCUUGUGGGUUCAAGUCCCGCAUCAAGCU